GACAGAGGUGCCGAGCGUUAGGCGGAAUCACUGGGCUUAAAGCGUGUGUAGGCGGGCGGGCAAGUACCUUGUGAAAUCCCACGGCUCAACCGUGGAACGGCUGGGUAUACUGCCUGUCUUGAGCCAACUAGGGGCGAGCGGAACAGACGGUGGAGCGGUGAAAUGCGUAGAUAUCGUCUGGAACGCCGAAGGUGAGAACAGCUCGCUGGGGUUGUGCUGACGCUGAGACACGAAAGCCAGGGGAGCGAACGGG
rnacentral:rRNA from 1 species